AGUACUGUAGAGGGGGGUAGAAUUUCAGGUGUAGCGGUGAAAUGCGUAGAGAUCUGAAGGAAUACCGGUGGCGAAGGCGGCCCCCUGGACAGAUACUGACACUCAGAUGCGAAAGCGUGGGGAGCAAACAGGAUUAGAUACCCUGGUAGUCCACGCCGUAAACGAUGUCUACUUGGAGGUUGUGGCCUUGAGCCGUGGCUUUUCGGAGCUAACGCGUUAAGUAGACCGCCUGGGGAGUACGGUCGCAAGAUUAAAACUCAGAUGAAUUGACGGGGGCCCGCACAAGCGGUGGAGCAUGUGGUUUAAUUCGAUGCAACGCGAAGAACCUUACCUACUCUUGACAUCCAGAGAACUUUCCAGAGAUGGAUUGGUGCCUUCGGGAACUCUGAGACAGGUGCUGCAUGGCUGUCGUCAGCUCGUGUUGUGAAAUGUUGGGUUAAGUCCCGCAACGAGCGCAACCCUUAUCCUUGUUUGCCAGCACUUCGGGUGGGAACUCCAGGGAGACUGCCGGUGAUAAACCGGAGGAAGGUGGGGACGACGUCAAGUCAUCAUGGCCCUUACGAGUAGGGCUACACACGUGCUACAAUGGCGCAUACAGAGGGCAGCCAACUUGCGAAAGUGAGCGAAUCCCAAAAAGUGCGUCGUAGUCCGGAUUGGAGUCUGCAACUCGACUCCAUGAAGUCGGAAUCGCUAGUAAUCAUGGAUCAGAAUGCCACGGUGAAUACGUUCCCGGGCCUUGUACACACCGCCCGUCACACCAUGGGAGUGGGCUGCAAAAGAAGUAGGUAGUUUAACCUUCGGGAGGACGCUUACCACUUUGUGGUUCAUGACUGGGGUGAAGUCGUAACAAGGUAACC
rnacentral:rRNA from 1 species